rnacentral:rRNA from 1 species
AUUGAACGCUAGCGGGAUGCUUUAAACAUGCAAGUCGAACGAGUGGCGGACGUGUGAGUAAUAUAUCGGAACGUGCUCCGUAGCGGGGGAUAACUACUCGACCGAGGGGCUAUUCCCGCAUACCUUUGGAGCGGAGGAUAAGGGAUUAGCUAGUUGGUAGGGUAAAGGAUCACCAAGGCAACGAUCCGUAGCUGAUUUGAGAGGACGACCAGCCACACUGGGACUGAGAAACGGUCCAGACUCCUACGGGAGGAAGCAGUGGGGAAUUUUGGGCAAUGGGGGAAACCCUGAUCCAGCCAUCCCGCGUGAAUGAGAAGGCCUUCGGGUUGUAAAGUACUUUUAGCAGGGAAGCGGUAUCUGCUGAGUAAGCACCGGCUAACUACGUGCCAGCCGCCGCGGUAAUAC